rnacentral:lncRNA from 1 species
GUGGCUUUUAGCAGCAUUUCCCUUCAGCCAUUUCUACAGAGUUGGGUGCUGACAUUCAAUAGAUAUUUAUUGACAGACUAUUUGAGCGCUACUUUGUUAAGACCCCAUAACUCCUUAUUUCAAGUUGACUGAACUUGACCUUAUGGAGCAUUUAAGACAGGCACUGACCAAAAAAUGUAUCUUUUCUGUGUCUCUUUCUAUAUUGUUUCCAAACAGAGACUGGUUGAGUCAGAUAUGUUUCUAUGAGGCCAUUUCCAUCUACUAAAUGGGGGGAAUAGAACAUUAAGUAUGCAGUAAAAUGCCUCUGUUUUUUAACAUACAGUGUAGACGAUUGAAAAUAAUGACUUACUUAAUACGCUAAUAGAGUCUCCGUGAAUCAUACUGUAUACAUAACGGUGAUGAAAAUGUUCAGGUUUGAAAUUUCUCCCUUGCCAGAGAGGAAACCAUGGGGGUGAGUCAUGGUUUUAGUGAUGACUGGCCUGGGGAAGUGAAAUUGGAAAGCCACAGGUUAAAAAAGGAGUGAGGAGUGAUUCCUUAACAGGAGUGCCAUAGUCAUAAACUCCAAGAAGGCAAGAGACAGUUCCUUAUGCUGCUCACACCUAGGCAGGAACCUGCAGAAGAAGAGCUCCUGGCGGUUCACCUGCAGGAGAGAAAUCCUGAAAGCCCAGGAAACCAAACAACAUUUAAAGUCACCUAUGGAUUGGGAAAAGAAACAGGACUUCUUGCUGGGGGAAGAGCGAUAAAUGACUGCCUGUAAAGGGGAACACAACUGAAUGCAGUCACUCAAGUGAACGAAAUUCAUUUAAGAGCAAUUGGAUUAGAGAUGGAGAUUUACAUGGAUGACUUUAAAGAAGAGAAGUGUGCAAGAGACAGGAAAGAUGCACAUCAGUCAUUUGCUACAAAACUGUAAACAGCAUUGUUAAGUGGGAAAAUGGGCCACUAAAUUGUAAUUAAACUAUGACGAUAAUGUUGUAAAAUGUGUGCUAUGGGCAAAGACUGAUUGGGAUUACAUAGAAAUUAACCUAGUUACUGUGCUCUUGGUAAAGUAUUGAUGUUAUUUGUUUUCCAUUGUUAAAUUUUGUGGUGUGAACAUGAGGGUGGGGGUGGGGAGAGACUAUAUAUAGAGAGUUUAGUGUUAAGACCAUGGCACGAGGAACCAGGAAGCCGUCUUUAAGUUUCACACGGCCACGCCAGCUGCGAUUGUAACCUCUCUUGAGUCUCAGUGUCCAUAUAUAGAAAGUGAGAAUAAGAACACCUGCCCUGCACUAAUGGGGUAGUGAAAGCACUUUGUAAAUUUGAAAGUAUUGUAGGAGAUUUUUUUAAGGAAUGAAGGUCUGGGUGCUAUCUAGAUGAGAGACUUAGGAAGUCCAGACCUCAAAAAGUUACACUGACUCUCUUUUCUUAGCAGUCACUGCGGAAGCUGGAGAACAUGUGUUAUCUCAUUUAAUUUUACAGUAAAACAAAUUACAAACACUUAUUGGGCAUCUACUAAUUGUUUCACUAACCAGGUUUUCCAAUACCAUUUAUAGAACAAUCUUCUUGUCCUCCAUUGAUCUGAAAUGCUCCUUUUAUCACACACCUGAGUUUAUAUUUGAACUGCUGUUUUACUGCUCACCGUUCUGUUUUAAUUGUUGUAGAUUGGUGACUUUUUUAAUCUGGUAGGGUAACUUUUUAUAGCUGUUGUUUUUUAAAAAUAGGAUCCAGGGCAGAGAGGGAGCUAUUAAGGAAGAUAACCAAGCUUGGACUCAAGGGAGUAACUAACCAGCCCAAAGGCACGUUGCAGUGUAGCAGAUUCUUAGAAGACAUUCUGGAAUCAGAGGAAGCUUACUUCAAAUCCUGGUGUAUGAUUUAUCAUCCACAUGACCCAACGUAUAUCACUUAAUUUCUUUAAUCUCUUUCCUCAUCUGCAAAUUGAAGACAAUAUCAGCUACCUUGAAGUGUCCUGAUGUGGAUUAAAGUACAAAAUGGAUGUCAGUUUCUCUAGGACCAUGCCUGGCACCCAGCUGUCACAUCCUUCCCUUCCUUUGAAAGCGUUCCUACUGGUAGGGACAUGGCUUCCCUUUCUUAGGUUUUCUUACAUCUGCAAAAAAGGAAGAAGAACAAAGAAUGCUCACAGCAUUCUGCAGGCUUGUUUCACUGAACGGAGAUAGAUACAUGGUAACUGUCUAGGGGAUUUCAGCUGUGCAUGUGUAUUCUCUCCUCCCUGAACAUGGCAGAGCAGAAGAUACUGCAUGCCAUAGAAUUCAUGAAGGGCUCUGUCAUUAUCCAGCCAUGAACAUGGGAUGUCAAACCAGGCUGCUCUUGUGACUUGAUUUGACAAAUGGAAUCUGGCAGAAGUGACAUUGGAUGUCUUCUGAGGCCAGGCUUAUAGAGGCUAGGGAGCUUCUGCUUUUGGUCUCUUGUAACCCUAAGACUCCCAUGCUGUGAACAAUUAUGCUCACGAAGAAAGACUUCUGCAGAGAAAGGCCCAGGAGCCUCUGAGAGGACCUGGCCCUGCACUGUCCUCGGUGCUUCUAAAAUGACAGCCUUGUGCUUCUCCGUCCUGUCCCCAGCAUCUGCAGGACUCAGCCCCGCUGACACCACCCGAGUGCCUACUCGACUCCCUCGGAUCACUUGUUCUCCCCUGACCAAGAGCAGCCCUUUGAGUUUGGGCUGGGUCUGGAUCUUUGGCAGAAGAUUUGACAGCUCCAACAGCUUCCUGGUUUUGGUUCAUCUUUGGACUCUUGGCCCUGUGUGCCAAGUCCUCAUUCGGCCAUCCCGGGACUUGGUUUCAUGCUCCGAGCCCAGCCCUGUGUCCACCUGCAGAUGACCAGUUCAGAUCGUCCGCGUUCUAGCCCAUUUGGGCCACUCUUGCAUCCAAUCUUUCUGGAAAGCAUUCUUUGGCAUUAUUUGGUUGCACCACACCUGACGUUGUCCUGAAGUGCCUGAGUGUCUGGUUCUUCUCCCCUAUAUUGGGGAAAUAGGAGGGGUAGGUCUCCUCCAUGGCUGCUGGGUGAGAGAGCAGGGGACAAACGCCAGAACCAUGAGCAAGGGGAGAGGCUGGAGAUUGCACUGGAAAGGUGGGUUUAACAUGGACCACAAAGGCAAGCAGACCCUGACUGUGCAUCAGGAACUGAGGCGCCUUCCCCAGAGAACGCUCAGAGAACCACCUGGGAUGAAGAUGGGUGUGAGAUUUGCCCAGGGAAUAAUUUGUGCCUCAGAGGUGGUCCGGAUGGAAUCCAGAGAGGGUGCCAGAACUCUGGUGGUUGUUUUCCGUGCUUCUGGCCCUUAUUUAAGUGAGGCAGGGCCAUUUAAAGCUGCCAUGAUAUGAAACAUAUUGGCUUAUCAUCAACAAAGAUUUAUUAAGUACCUCUGGCUACAAGCCUGAGCCCUUACAAGGUGAGAGAGCUGAGGUUAGAGUGAGUGUUCUGGAGUGGAAGUCGGAGGUGUGGUAGUAGCUAUGCACAUAGAUCAUGAAUUUUC